rnacentral:rRNA from 1 species
CACGUAGGGCGCGAGCGUUGUCCGGAAUUAUUGGGCGUAAAGAGCUCGUAGGCGGCCUGUUGCGUCCGCUGUGAAAGCCCCGGGGCUUAACCCCGGGUCUGCAGUGGAUACGGGCAGGCUAGAGGUAGGUAGGGGAGAAUGGAAUUCCCGGUGUAGCGGUGAAAUGCGCAGAUAUCGGGAGGAACACCGGUGGCGAAGGCGGUUCUCUGGGCCUUACCUGACGCUGAGGAGCGAAAGCUAGGGGAGCAAACGGG